GUCUACAGCCAUGCUACCCUGAACACACCCAAUCCCGUCUAAUCUCGGAAGCUAAGCAGGGUCAGGCCUGGUUAGUACUUGGAUAGGAGACCACAUAGGAAGACCAGGUGCUAUAAAAC
rnacentral:rRNA from 1 species